rnacentral:rRNA from 1 species
UACGGGGGGGGCAAGCGUUGUUCGGAAUUACUGGGCGUAAAGGGCGCGUAGGCGGGUGGACAAGUCUCUCGUGAAAGCCCACGGCUCAACCGUGGAAUUGCGGGAGAUACUGUCUGUCUCGAGUCCGGGAGAGGAGGGUGGAAUUCCCAGUGUAGCGGUGAAAUGCGUAGAGAUUGGGAGGAACACCGGUGGCGAAGGCGGCUCUCUGGACCGGUACUGACGAUGAGGCGCGAAAGCUAGGGGAGCAAACGGG